rnacentral:tRNA from 1 species
GCCGAAAUAGCUCAGGGGUAGAGCGACGCUCUCGUAAAGCGUAGGUCGUGAGUUCAAUUCUCACUUUCGGCU